rnacentral:rRNA from 1 species
UACAGGGGGUGCAAACGUUGCUCGGAAUUAUUGGGCGUAAAGCGCGCGUAGGCGGCUACUUAAGUCGGAUGUGAAAGCCCCUGGCUCAACUGGGGAAGUGCACCCGAAACUGAGUGGCUUGAGUGCGAAAGAGGGUCGCGGAAUUCCCGGUGUAGAGGUGAAAUUCGUAGAUAUCGGGAGGAACACCGGUGGCGAAGGCGGCGACCUGGACCAACACUGACACUGAGGAGCGAAAGCCAGGGGAGCAAACGGG